GGUUAAGCGACUAAGCGUACACGGUGGAUGCCCUGGCAGUCAGAGGCGAUGAAGGACGUGCUAAUCUGCGAUAAGCGUCGGUAAGGUGAUAUGAACCGUUAUAACCGGCGAUUUCCGAAUGGGGAAACCCAGUGUGUUUCGACACACUAUCAUUAACUGAAUCCAUAGGUUAAUGAGGCGAACCGGGGGAACUGAAACAUCUAAGUACCCCGAGGAAAAGAAAUCAACCGAGAUUCCCCCAGUAGCGGCGAGCGAACGGGGAGCAGCCCAGAGCCUGAAUCAGUGUGUGUGUUAGUGGAAGCGUCUGGAAAGGCGCGCGAUACAGGGUGACAGCCCCGUACACAAAAAUGCACAUGCUGUGAGCUCGAUGAGUAGGGCGGGACACGUGGUAUCCUGUCUGAAUAUGGGGGGACCAUCCUCCAAGGCUAAAUACUCCUGACUGACCGAUAGUGAACCAGUACCGUGAGGGAAAGGCGAAAAGAACCCCGGCGAGGGGAGUGAAAAAGAACCUGAAACCGUGUACGUACAAGCAGUGGGAGCACAGAGCAAUCUGUGUGACUGCGUACCUUUUGUAUAAUGGGUCAGCGACUUAUAUUCUGUAGCAAGGUUAACCGAAUAGGGGAGCCGAAGGGAAACCGAGUCUUAACUGGGCGUUAAGUUGCAGGGUAUAGACCCGAAACCCGGUGAUCUAGCCAUGGGCAGGUUGAAGGUUGGGUAACACUAACUGGAGGACCGAACCGACUAAUGUUGAAAAAUUAGCGGAUGACUUGUGGCUGGGGGUGAAAGGCCAAUCAAACCGGGAGAUAGCUGGUUCUCCCCGAAAGCUAUUUAGGUAGCGCCUCGUGAAUUCAUCUCCGGGGGUAGAGCACUGUUUCGGCAAGGGGGUCAUCCCGACUUACCAACCCGAUGCAAACUGCGAAUACCGGAGAAUGUUAUCACGGGAGACACACGGCGGGUGCUAACGUCCGUCGUGAAGAGGGAAACAACCCAGACCGCCAGCUAAGGUCCCAAAGUCAUGGUUAAGUGGGAAACGAUGUGGGAAGGCCCAGACAGCCAGGAUGUUGGCUUAGAAGCAGCCAUCAUUUAAAGAAAGCGUAAUAGCUCACUGGUCGAGUCGGCCUGCGCGGAAGAUGUAACGGGGCUAAACCAUGCACCGAAGCUGCGGCAGCGACGCUUAUGCGUUGUUGGGUAGGGGAGCGUUCUGUAAGCCUGUGAAGGUGUGCUGUGAGGCAUGCUGGAGGUAUCAGAAGUGCGAAUGCUGACAUAAGUAACGAUAAAGCGGGUGAAAAGCCCGCUCGCCGGAAGACCAAGGGUUCCUGUCCAACGUUAAUCGGGGCAGGGUGAGUCGACCCCUAAGGCGAGGCCGAAAGGCGUAGUCGAUGGGAAACAGGUUAAUAUUCCUGUACUUGGUGUUACUGCGAAGGGGGGACGGAGAAGGCUAUGUUGGCCGGGCGACGGUUGUCCCGGUUUAAGCGUGUAGGCUGGUUUUCCAGGCAAAUCCGGAAAAUCAAGGCUGAGGCGUGAUGACGAGGCACUACGGUGCUGAAGCAACAAAUGCCCUGCUUCCAGGAAAAGCCUCUAAGCAUCAGGUAACAUCAAAUCGUACCCCAAACCGACACAGGUGGUCAGGUAGAGAAUACCAAGGCGCUUGAGAGAACUCGGGUGAAGGAACUAGGCAAAAUGGUGCCGUAACUUCGGGAAAAGGCACGCUGAUAUGUAGGUGAGGUCCCUCGCGGAUGGAGCUGAAAUCAGUCGAAGAUACCAGCUGGCUGCAACUGUUUAUUAAAAACACAGCACUGUGCAAACACGAAAGUGGACGUAUACGGUGUGACGCCUGCCCGGUGCCGGAAGGUUAAUUGAUGGGGUUAGCGGUAACGCGAAGCUCUUGAUCGAAGCCCCGGUAAACGGCGGCCGUAACUAUAACGGUCCUAAGGUAGCGAAAUUCCUUGUCGGGUAAGUUCCGACCUGCACGAAUGGCGUAAUGAUGGCCAGGCUGUCUCCACCCGAGACUCAGUGAAAUUGAACUCGCUGUGAAGAUGCAGUGUACCCGCGGCAAGACGGAAAGACCCCGUGAACCUUUACUAUAGCUUGACACUGAACAUUGAGCCUUGAUGUGUAGGAUAGGUGGGAGGCUUUGAAGUGUGGACGCCAGUCUGCAUGGAGCCGGCCUUGAAAUACCACCCUUUAAUGUUUGAUGUUCUAACGUUGGCCCCUGAUCGGGGUUGCGGACAGUGUCUGGUGGGUAGUUUGACUGGGGCGGUCUCCUCCUAAAGAGUAACGGAGGAGCACGAAGGUUGGCUAAUCCUGGUCGGACAUCAGGAGGUUAGUGCAAUGGCAUAAGCCAGCUUGACUGCGAGCGUGACGGCGCGAGCAGGUGCGAAAGCAGGUCAUAGUGAUCCGGUGGUUCUGAAUGGAAGGGCCAUCGCUCAACGGAUAAAAGGUACUCCGGGGAUAACAGGCUGAUACCGCCCAAGAGUUCAUAUCGACGGCGGUGUUUGGCACCUCGAUGUCGGCUCAUCACAUCCUGGGGCUGAAGUAGGUCCCAAGGGUAUGGCUGUUCGCCAUUUAAAGUGGUACGCGAGCUGGGUUUAGAACGUCGUGAGACAGUUCGGUCCCUAUCUGCCGUGGGCGCUGGAGAACUGAGGGGGGCUGCUCCUAGUACGAGAGGACCGGAGUGGACGCAUCACUGGUGUUCGGGUUGUCAUGCCAAUGGCACUGCCCGGUAGCUAAAUGCGGAAGAGAUAAGUGCUGAAAGCAUCUAAGCACGAAACUUGCCCCGAGAUGAGUUCUCCCUGACUCCUUGAGAGUCCUGAAGGAACGUUGAAGACGACGACGUUGAUAGGCCGGGUGUGUAAGCGCAGCGAUGCGUUGAGCUAACCGGUACUAAUGAACCGUGAGGCUUAACCUU
rnacentral:rRNA from 1 species